GACAGAGGGUGCAAACGUUGUUCGGAUUUACUGGGCGUAAAGCGUGUGUAGGCGGCUUCGCAAGUUGGAUGUGAAAUCCCACGGCUCAACCGUGGACGUGCAUCCAAAGCUGCGUCGCUAGAGUCUCGGAGAGGAAGGUGGAAUGCUUGGUGUAGAGGUGAAAUUCGUAGAUAUCAAGCAGAACACCUGCGGCGAAGGCGGCCUUCUGGACGAUGACUGACGCUGAGACACGAAAGCGUGGGGAGCAAACAGG
rnacentral:rRNA from 1 species